rnacentral:rRNA from 1 species
GUGAGGAAUAUUGGUCAAUGGACGAGAGUCUGAACCAGCCAAGUCGCGUGAAGGAAGACGGUUCUAUGAAUUGUAAACUUCUUUUGUGCAGGAAUAAAGUGGGUUACGUGUAACCUUUUGUAUGUACUGUACGAAUAAGGAUCGGCUAACUCCGUGCCAGCAGCCGCGGUAAUACGGAGGAUCCGAGCGUUAUCCGGAUUUAUUGGGUUUAAAGGGUGCGUAGGUGGAUUGAUAAGUCAGCGGUGAAAGUUUGCAGCUUAACUGUAAAAUUGACGUUGAAGCUGUCGGUCGUGAGUUCAAAUAAGGUAGGCGGAAUGUGUUGUGUAGCGGUGAAAAGCUUAGAUAUAACACAGAACUCCGAUUGCGAAGGCAGCUUACUGAGAUGCAACUGACACUGAUGCACGAAAGCAUGGGUAUCAAACAGGAUUAGAAACCCGAGUAGUCC